rnacentral:lncRNA from 1 species
CCUGCAAGCACUUUAGCUCCUUGGUGGGAUUGCUGGCGCCUCUGACGUGUGAUCCCAUGCCCACAUCCCGCCAGCUGGCUGUCACCUGUCUGAGCUCCCUUCUCCGAAUCCAAGGUGAGUAGAGUGGCGUGCGCCAGCCCUCUGCUCUCCUCCGCAGCACUACCAGAACCCCACGGGCUGGGCCCAGUUUACGGGAGGAAGAGGCACUGUGCGCAGCUCUCUUCUUCUCUCCACCCUGUUCUCUGUCUCUCCCAUGUGGAAAGCAGUUCUGUUUCUGGAAGCAUGACUUCCCUUUUCUCCCUGUGCUCUUUCCAGCCAAGGCGACCAACAGAGUCAUCCAGACAGGAGACAUCGGGAGCCUGUGUGUGGGGCUGAAUGACUGCAGCACCAUCCGUCAGCUCCAGACCUCUUCCAAAAUCGCACGGGUAAGUGGACCGAAAAAGGGGUGGUAGGAUCUCAGUGCGUAGGCUUUUGCACGUCCCUCUGCUCCCCCCAGCCUCUCACA